AUUGAACCACUAAUUGAAAGUGAGGAAAUAGAAAUUGAAAUUACUGGAAUUGAAGAAUAUUCGGAAAAAAUAAUAAAGUGGCAAUCUAGAAUCGCAAGAUUUUUGAAAGAAAACAAUAAAGAAAGUAGAGGAGGAGAAGAAUCAUUUAACAGCGCACAAUCUAAAUUUGUACCAGAAAUAAGUAAUGCAGUUAAACUCCCAAAACUAACCAUAAACAAAUUUUACGGAGAAACAACAUUAUGGCUUGAAUUUUGGAAUCAAUUUGAAAUCGCGAUCCAUGAAAACAAAAGUUUAACUGAGAUACAAAAAUUUACUUAAAGAGUUUACUGGGUGGAAUUGCAUUAAAUGCCAUUAAAGGGUUUGCUUUGACUAAAGAAAAUUAUAUGAAAAGUAUAGAAUUGUUAAAAUAUAGAUUUGGGCGCGAAGAUUUAGUGAUUAAUAGUCAUAUGAAUCGUCUAUUAAAUCUUGAUCCCGUAAAAAAUUCUAGUGAUAUUAGAGCAUUACGGAAUUUAUAUGAUAAUUUAGAAGUAAACAUUAGAUCUUUAGAAAGCUUAAAUGUAGUCUCUGGAACAUAUGGACACUUAUUAUGCCCUAUAUUAUUAAAACUAAUACCAGAAGAUUUAACUUUAGAAUACAACCGCAAACGAAAAUCAAAAUCAGAAUUUAAUGUUUCGGAAUUAAUUCAAUUUAUUAAGGAAGAAAUUCAAGUACGCGAAUCAUCUACAUUAUUCCAUGAUAAUGCUAAGAAAAAUAAACACUAUAAUUAUUAUAAUUCCAGGGAAGUAAUAAAUAACAAAAAACAGUUCAGAUCGAAUAUUCCCACAGCUUCAGCAUUGGCUACUAAUGUAAAAUUUAAUUGUGUAUUUUGUAAAUCAGAACAUGAUUCAUUUAUUUGUGAAAAAAUGUCGGUUUCUGAAAAAAGAGAUAGAUUAAUGCGCGAAGGUCGUUGCUUUAAAUGUUUCCGAAAAUCACAUUUAAGUUCACAAUGUAGGAGUAAAAUUAGUCCUUGUAAAAAAUGUAAUAGUAAAUCUCAUCACGAAAUAAUUUGUUUUGGAAUUCCGAAAACUCAAAACGAAAGUUCGCAAGAAACCGCAGAGAAAAAUACAGUUGUAGCCAGCGUUUCUCAUGUCGAAGAGGGACAAAAGGGGGAAUUUCAAUCAGUGUUCUUACAAACAUGUGUUGCGAAUUUACAUUUGGCAGAUAAAACGCAGGAGAUAAAUAUUUUAUUUGAUUCCGCAUCAAUGAGGUCAUUCAUUACUAGAGAAUUAGCUCAAAAGCUUAAUCUCCCGAUAAUAAGAAAGGAAAAUUUAUUAGUUUAUACUUUUGGAAGCCGUGAACCGCAAGAAAAAACAUUUGAUAUAGUAAAGGCGAGUAUAAGCAAUAAAAAAUAUCCUACUCGAAGGUCAGAGUUCGAAUUAUUGGUUUCAAGUACCAUAACACGUGCUUCUUUCCCACCGCAUAAUAAUAAAAUAAAGUUGCUGCUUGAGGAUUUUGCGCUUACUGAUUUAUGCCUUUCGAAAGGAAUAAAUUCCAUUGAUAUAUUAAUUGGAGCAGAUUAUUAUUGGAAACUCCACACUGGGUACAUAAAGGAGUUGACUAAAGAUUUGUUUUAUGUCGAAACAUUACUCGGCGGAAGCGUAACUGGGAUUACUCAUUCAGAUUUAAAAAAUGACUCUAUCAUUGAAAAUUUAUGUUAUUGUAAGGAAAAAUUUAAUUGUGAGGAAUUAACUAGUGAAAAUAAUUCUUGUGAUGAUAUAAAUUUACAGUUACGGAAAUUUUGGGAUAUUGAAAGCUUAGGCAUAAAUGAUAAAAUUCAGAAUACACCUUUAGAGCAAGAAACUUUAAAACAGUUUGAACAAAAUAUAAAAUUUCAGGAUGGCAGAUACGUAGUUAAAUUACCAUUUAAAGAUGAGGUAAACAUUUCUGACAAUUUUAAUUUAUCUAAAAGAAGGUUAAUUAGUUUAACAUCGCGUUUUAAUAAAAAUCCUUCUUUGCAUGAUAAUUAUGCUAGUAUUUUUAAAGAACAAUUAUCGGAAGGAAUAAUAGAACCUGUUAAUGAUAAAUCAAUAGUUCCAAAUAUGGUUUAUUACUUACCUCAUCAUCCAGUAAUUAGAAAUGAUAAACAAACUACAAAGUUACGGAUAGUUUUUGAUGCUUCGGCUAAAGAAAAAAAUUGCUACUCUCUAAAUGAUAACUUAUUAUCGGGUCCCAAUCUAAACCCUAAUCUUUUAAUUUUACUAUUAAAAUUUCGCGAGUUUAAAAUAGGAAUAAUUGCUGAUUGUGAAAAGGCUUUCCUACAAUUGUUAAUUGAUGAACAUGAUAGGGACUAUCUUAGAUUUCUUUGGUCAGAGCAAUUCCCUCCCAAGAAAAUUGAGGUUUUUCGCAAUAGAACCGUAACUUUCGGAGUAAAAUCAUCAACAUUUUUACUGGCUGGAACAAUAAAGUAUCAUAUCAAAAAUUAUAAAGAAUCUCAUCCUUUGGCGUGUAAGGUUUUAAAUGAAAAUUUGUAUGUCGACGAUCUUAUUACUGGUACAAAUACGAUUGAAGAUGGACUACUAUUAUCCAGGGACACUAAAUUAAUAUUAAAGGAUGCAUCAAUAAAUCUUAGGAAGUGGAAGAGUAAUUCUAAGGAGUUAUGCCAAAAAUGGCAAGACACGAAAUUUGAAAAAUAUCCUAGUGAAGAAACAGUACCUUUAAAGGUUUUAGGAUUAAUUUGGAAUACUUUAAGGGAUGAAUUUAAUUUAGAUUUAAGUUCUUUAAUUGACUCUUUGGAAAAUGUGAAAAAUACUAAGAGAAGCGUAUUACGCAUAUCAUCGAAAUUAUUUGAUCCAAUGGGAUAUAUAACAGCAUUCACGAUUAGAAUUAAAAUUCUUCUUCAAGAAAUAUGGGAACAAGGCUUAGAAUGGGAUGAGGAAUUCGGAGAUAUUUUAAGACUGAAAUGGGAAAAAUGGUAUAAGGAAGUAAAUGUAUUAAAGGAACUUUCACUACCAAGAAAUUAUUUUCAUGAAGAAGAUAGCUGCUCCGAAGUAGGGAAUUAUAAGAUAAUUAUAUUUUGUGACGCAAGUGAGAAGGCGUAUGGAGCGAUUGCAUAUAUUCGAUAUGAAAGAAAUCAAAAUUUUUACGUAAGCUUCGUUACUUCAAAGGCACGCUUUGCACCAUUGAAGAAGUUGAGUCUACCAAGAUUAGAACUGAUGGCCACUCUUAUAGGUUCUAGAUUAUUGGAUACUUUAAGGAAGAUGUUUCAAAUAAAUAAGAACUAUAUUCUAUAUUCUGACUCAACCAUAGCCCUUAGUUGGAUUCGAGGAAAUGCAAAUCAGUGGAAGUCAUUUAUUUCAAACAGAGUAAGUGAGAUCCAAACUUUAGCAGAUCCUACUAAUUGGAAGUACAUAAAGGGAAAUGAUAAUCCAGCUGAUAUCAUAUCAAGAGGAUGCAGUGCUAAUGAUUUGCUCUCAAGUGCAAUUAUUUUUAAUGGACCAACAUGGUUGACAUUAAGCGAAGAAAAAUGGCCGAAAAAUGAAAAAACUUUUAGAAGAGCAGAUGUAGAUGAAGAAAAGAGAUCGAAAUUUAUUGCAGUUAAUUAUGCAAGUGAAAAUAAUGUUCACGAUUAUAUUUUCGAUAUCCACAAAUUUAGUUCUAUUAAGAAGGUUUUCCGAAUAACAGCCUGGAUUAGAAGAUUUAUAACAAAUUUGAGACUGAAGAAAGAAGAUAGAAUCAAAAAUGUCUUAACUGCAGAAGAAUUAGAAGAAGCUGAAAACCUUUGGUUGAGACACGUACAAGCAAGGAACUACAGUAAAGAUAUAGAUUACGUAAAGGAAAGACAAAAUUUUUUGAAGUGCUAA
rnacentral:sRNA from 1 species